rnacentral:rRNA from 1 species
GACGAACGCUGGCGGCGUGCUUAACACAUGCAAGUCGAACGGAAAGGCCCUGCUUUUGUGGGGUGCUCGAGUGGCGAACGGGUGAGUAACACGUGAGUAACCUGCCCUUGACUUUGGGAUAACUUCAGGAAACUGGGGCUAAUACCGGAUAGGAGCUCCUGCUGCAUGGUGGGGGUUGGAAAGUUUCGGCGGUUGGGGAUGGACUCGCGGCUUAUCAGCUUGUUGGUGGGGUAGUGGCUUACCAAGGCUUUGACGGGUAGCCGGCCUGAGAGGGUGACCGGCCACAUUGGGACUGGAAUACGGCCCAGACCCCUCCGGGGGGCAGAAGGGGGGAAUAUUGCACAAUGGGCGGAAGCCUGAUGCAGCAACGCCGGGUGCGGGAUGCCGGCCUUCGGGUUGUAAACCGCUUUCCCCUGGGACGAAGCGUGAGUGACGGUAAUGGGUAAAGAAGCACCGGCUAACUACUU